UACAGAGGGGGCAAGCGUUGUUCGGAAUUACUGGGCGUAAAGGGCGCGUAGGCGGCCUUCUAAGUCGAACGUGAAAUCCCCGGGCUCAACCCGGGAACUGCGUCCGAUACUGGAAGGCUUGAAUCCGGGAGAGGGAUGUGGAAUUCCAGGUGUAGAGGUGAAAUUCGUAGAUAUCGGGAGGAAUACCAGUGGCGAAGGCGGCGACCUGGGCCAAUACUGACGCUGAGGUGCGAAAGCGUGGGGAGCAAACAGG
rnacentral:rRNA from 1 species